rnacentral:rRNA from 1 species
CCUACGGGGGGCCGCAGUGGGGAAUAUUGGGCAAUGGGCGCAAGCCUGACCCAGCAACGCCGCGUGAAGGAAGAAGGCUUUCGGGUUGUAAACUUCUUUUCUCAGGGACGAAGCAUGUGACGGUACCUGCGGAAUAAGCCACGGCUAACUACGUGCCAGCAGCCGCGGUAAUACGUAGGUGGCAAGCGUUAUCCGGAUUUACUGGGUGUAAAGGGCGUGUAGGCGGGACUGCAAGUCAGAUGUGAAAACCACGGGGUAAACAUGUGGCCUGCAUUUGAAAAUGUAGUUCUUGAGUACUGGAGAGGCAGACGGAAUUCCUAGUGUAGCGGUGAAAUGCGUAGAUAUUAGGAGGAACACCAGUGGCGAAGGCGGUCUGCUGGACAGCAACUGACGCUGAGGCGCGAAAGCGUGGGGAGCAAACAGGAUUAGAUACCCCAGUAGUC